rnacentral:lncRNA from 1 species
NCUCGGGUUGGAACAAAUUACAAUAAUGCACCCCGCCUAUGGAUUGGCGACAUUUUUUGCAAAUUUUACGAACAUAAGCUCUUAUUUUCAUAUUUGUCAUUCCUUAUCUUAAUUCUGAAUCUACUUCUUGGAAAAAAAAUAAGUUUCUUGAAAUUUUUCAUCUCGAAUCAUAUUGAAUAAAAACCAUCUAAUCCUUCCAAUCCUUGUUGUGGAGUCGAUAAAUUAUACAUCUUUUGGUUGAAUCAUAACGACUUCUUCAAUUUUGACUUAUCUCCU